UAUCUUUGUCUGCACUUAAAAUCUAGAUUCUGUUUCUGAUCUGAUUAUUCUCACUCCAAACAAUUUUCAAAACUGAUAGAUUUCUGUCCUCAUCCGAGUAAUGGUCAGGCAGCCAAUGGAUUGUUCCCAAAUAUGGACCAAUAAGCCAACAACUUGUCUGGAUGUUGCCAGUUGGCAUCAAACAUAGGCCUGUGUAUGAGCAGCUUUAGAGCUAGAAUGAGAGGCAAUUGACACGCCACUUCCCCAUAAUGAUUCUCCCUCCCUUUACUUAUUGUGAGAAUGUAAAAGUGAAAGCAGCAGUUGCUGUUUGCUCAUUCGGAAGGAACAGAAAUUGGAAAUGGUGCUGGAUAGAAUAAUCCUUCUCUGCUGGAUUUGCUGCAGCUCAGUGUAUUCACAGACGGGCAGCAGUCAGACAACAGAGCGCCUCCGACUUCUCUGGAUUCCAGUUGUCUUUGUCGUUCUAUUGGUGGGGGGUGGUCUCCUGCUCUACUGUCACCCCUGCAGCCCCCCAGAGGCAGGAAUAUGUGAGCGGUGUGGAGACGUGUGUGGCAAUAUUAUGAGAUCUUGCGGAAAUGGGGUCCCCCUUGGAAGUCUUCCCAGGGGAUUCCCCAGAAGUUCUGCCGAAGUGGAGACCAGCUGCUGAGAGCUGCAGAACUUGCCUGACAGUUGCAUGUAUAUAUGUAUAUAUUUAUAUUUGUAUAUAUAUCUUAUUAUUUUGCUUAUUGGAACUUCAGAGCAACUGUUUUCAGCAGAGAAAAUGCCAUUUAUUCAGACUUCUUGAAGAAACAGGGAACUGUGAUGGGAAUAUUAGGGCUUUCUGUGUUAUCAAAUUUUGGUUCCUCUUUAAUAAAUGAGACAAGAUUGAACUAUUAA